rnacentral:sRNA from 1 species
UGCUGAUGGCCCAGUUACCGUGCGCGGUUUCUGGGGCAGUUGAUUCAACCACGGGAUGUUGCGCCCGCUGGCUUUCAUUUUGACAAGUGCAGCAUUGCCACGGAGACAGAUCAAUCGGUUUUCCUGCCUAAUAUCUGCGGCGCAUAUUCUCUCCCAAGUGUAAUACGUAACCUGCACCGCACAGUUCUCGUGUGGUGCAUCAUGGUCGUCGUCAGUUAAUGCUUGCGAAAGUGCCUUGAGCACGCGGCGGGAUACUUGGGUGACGCACGCAGGAGAGGACUUGAUCAGGCCAAGGCGGCUAACUGAUAAGAUCCGUGCAGCUGACCGUUGUUGCUGCUAUUUUUAGUGUGUAUAUCCCAACAGGGGUGGAGGAAGAAACUUUCGCCACCACUGGGCUCCAGAGA